CCCUUAGAUGUUCUGGGCUGCACGCGCGCUACACUGAAGCUAUCAACACGUUUUCCCUCCCUGAGAAGGGCGGGUAACCUUUUGAAUCAGCUUCGGGGUAGGGAUCGGGGCUUGCAAUUGUUCCCCGUGAACCAGGAAUUCCUAGUAGACGCGAGUCAUAAGCUCGCAUCGAUUAAGUCCCUGCCCUUUGUACACACCGCCCGUCGCUACUACCGAUUGAACGUUUUAGUGAGGCAUUUGGACCGACGCAUCUCAGUUUAACCGCUGGUUUGUGUUGGAAAGACUUCCAAACUUGAGCGUUUAGAGGAAGUAAAAGUCGUAACA
rnacentral:rRNA from 1 species